rnacentral:lncRNA from 1 species
GAACCUCCUCGAAGGUGUGCGAAACAGCUCUGGACGUUUCUCUAUGCCAAAAGAUUGAGUUUUGAUUCGCACUGGGUCUAUUUAUAGACCAAAAAGAUAACAGAAAGAUUACAGAAUCUGAGCUAAUAAAAAUAGACAACCGCUCAGGCGCCUAAGUAAAUCGCUCAACAGUUUCCCCUUUAGCCGUUGGACCGCUCAGCGGUCAGUUUUGCCGCUGAGCGGUUUGCCCCUAAUCGUCCUGGACGCUCAGCGGUCCAUUUUGUCGCUUAGCGGUCCCUUUGACUCUCUUUUCAUCCUUUUUCUUCAUCUUUCACGAGUAUAAGUCCACC